UAGGCCUAACACAUGCAAGUCGAGGGGUAAAUAUUGUAGCAAUACGAUAUGAGACCGGCGCACGGGUGCGUAACGCGUAUGCAACCUACCUUUUACAGGGGGAUAGCUUCGAGAAAUCGAAAUUAAUACCGCAUAACAUAUUUGGUUGGCAUCAAUUGAAUAUCAAAGCUGAGGCGGUAAAAGAUGGGCAUGCGUGACAUUGGCUAGUUGGUAGGGUAACGGCUUACCAAGGCUACGAUGUCUAGGGGUUCUGAGAGGAUGAUCCCCCACACUGGUACUGAGACACGGACCAGACUCCUACGGGAGGCAGCAGUAAGGAAUAUUGGGCAAUGGAGGCAACUCUGACAGAGCCACGCCGCGUGCAGGAUGACUGCCCUA
rnacentral:rRNA from 1 species